rnacentral:rRNA from 1 species
GAUGAACGCUAGCGAUAGGCUUAACACAUGCAAGUCGAGGGACCGGCGGAUGGGUGAGUCACGCGUAUGCAACUUGCCUCUUAGGGGGGGAUAACCCGGACAAAUCCGGACUAAUCCCGCAUUCUAAAGGUUAGGCAUGCGUUCCAUUAGUUAGUUGGUGAGGUAACGGCAAGCCAAGGCAUCGAUGGAUAGGGGAGCUGAGAGGCGGAACCCCCAGAUGGGGACUGAGACACGGCCCAAACUCGUACGGGAGGCAGAAGUUAGGAAGAUUGGGCAAUGGAGGAAACUCUGAAACAGCCAAGUAGCGUGAAGGAUGACGGGCUAUGGAUUGUAAACUUCUUUAGUAGGCGAGUAAGUAGCCUAAGAAUAAGUAUCGGCUAACUCCGUGCCAGCAGCCGCGGUAAUAC